rnacentral:rRNA from 1 species
UGGCUCAGGAUGAACGCUGGCGGCGUGCUUAACACAUGCAAGUCGAACGAGCCUUCGGGCUAGUGGCGGACGGGUGAGUAACGCGUGAGAAUCUGCCCUCAGGAGGGGGAUAACGGCUGGAAACGGCCGCUAAUACCCCAUAUGCCGCGAGGUGAAAUGAGAAAUCGCCUGAGGAUGAGCUCGCGUCUGAUUAGCUAGUUGGUGGGGUAAGAGCCUACCAAGGCAUCGAUCAGUAGCUGGUCUGAGAGGAUGAUCAGCCACACUGGGACUGAGACACGGCCCAGACUCCUACGGGAGGCAGCAGUGGGGAAUUUUCCGCAAUGGGCGCAAGCUUGACGGAGCAACGCCGCGUGAGGGAUGAAGGCCUCUGGGCUGUAAACCUCUUUUCUCAAGGAAGAAGAACUGACGGUACUUGAGGAAUAAGCCACGGCUAAUUCCGUGCCAGCAGCCGCGGUAAUACGGGAGUGGCAAGCGUUAUCCGGAAUUGUUGGGCGUAAAGCGUCCGCAGGCGGUCUUGAAAGUCUGUUGUUAAAGCGUGGAGCUCAACUCCAUUUCAGCAAUGGAAACUAGAAGACUAGAGUGUGGUAGGGGCAGAGGGAAUUCCCGGUGUAGCGGUGAAAUGCGUAGAUAUCGGGAAGAACACCAGUGGCGAAGGCGCUCUGCUGGGCCAUAACUGACGCUCAUGGACGAAAGCCAGGGGAGCGAAAGGGAUUAGAUACCCCUGUAGUCCUGGCCGUAAACGAUGAACACUAGGUGUCGGGGGAAUCGACCCCCUCGGUGUCGUAGCCAACGCGUUAAGUGUUCCGCCUGGGGAGUACGCACGCAAGUGUGAAACUCAAAGGAAUUGACGGGGGCCCGCACAAGCGGUGGAGUAUGUGGUUUAAUUCGACGCAACGCGAAGAACCUUACCAGGGUUUGACAUCCUGCGAAUCUUUUGGAAACAGAAGAGUGCCUUCGGGAGCGCAGAGACAGGUGGUGCAUGGCUGUCGUCAGCUCGUGUCGUGAGAUGUUGGGUUAAGUCCCGCAACGAGCGCAACCCACGUCUUUAGUUGCCAGCAUUGAGUUGGGCACUCUAGAGAGACCGCCGGUGGUAAACCGGAGGAAGGUGUGGAUGACGUCAAGUCAUCAUGCCCCUUACAUCCUGGGCUACACACGUACUACAAUGCUACGGACAGAGGGCAGCAAACUCGCGAGAGCUAGCAAAUCCCAUAAACCGUGGCUCAGUUCAGAUCGUAGGCUGCAACUCGCCUACGUGAAGGAGGAAUCGCUAGUAAUCGCAGGUCAGCAUACUGCGGUGAAUACGUUCCCGGGCCUUGUACACACCGCCCGUCACACCAUGGAAGUUGGCCAUGCCCGAAGUCGUUACUCCAGCCCUUGUGGAGGAGGACGCCGAAGGUGGGGCUGAUGACUGGGGUGAAGUCGUAACAAGGUA